rnacentral:snRNA from 1 species
GUAAAUCAAUUGAUGUAGG